AAGGAGCUCCAGCAAAUCACCAAACCACAUCAGAACAGAAAGUACAAACGCCUGAAAUGGAGGAGUUUGCGGAGCAGGGACCCUUCAACCCAAGACGCUCAACAUUAGCCCAGUGAGGAAACUGAGGCUCAGAGAUACUAAGUGACCUGCCCAAGGUCACUCAGUGAAGCUGCAGCAUUCUGUCAACCAGCUCUCCAGCAUGUAGAAUUAAUUAAAAGGCCGAGAAAAAACUCCAGCAUGAACAAGACUGGUCUGAACCCGAAGCCCUAGCUCUUGACUCUUGACAAGUAGCAGACGCUACCGUUACCUGGGAGGAAGAUGGUGAUGCCUCUUUAAGAUACGGAGAGUCCGAGGCCUCAAGAGGGAACUCUGCCCACCGCACCUCCCUCAACCAUCUCUCAAUGGCUUCUCAUUUCUCAUCAUCCCAUGACCUCCAGUUCAGUAGCACCCCUCUGAGGACUCCAAAGCUUCUGCUCAUUCACUUCUUUUAGUGAACAACUCUUCACCUCUUCAGCCUCUCCCCACCUCCCAAUUUCCUGGGUCCCCUUCUCUGUUUUGUUUUUGCUCACUUCCCUAUAAAGCCGGAGUCAUCAUGAACCAUUUCAGCAGAGAAGGUGGCCAGCUCUCAGCGAACUCUGCUCUCCCAACCCACCACCUCACCAGUCUUUGUCUCUGAAGGUCUUCUCUGCAAAGGGAGGUUGCUUGAGAGUCCUGCUGGUGAGCACCACUACAGAUGUGUGCUGGCUAGCUUCAGCUGCUUGACAACUCUUUAAAAGAUGUGUAUUUAAACAAUUUUUCAAAGGGGAAAAAAUCUCUUCACUUCUUCACACGAACUGUUUAUGGAAUUCAGUGACCUUUUAUGAAUCAUAUCAUUGUAUAAGCUUCAUUUUCCAGGGUAGAAAUCAACUUAUCCAUCCUAUUUCAUACUCCGCCUUGUUCACCAAAUGUUUUUCUGUGUAUUCUUUCUCAUGCAUUGACAGAGACUCAUAUUCAUCAUUUGAAAUGGUUAUAUAAUAUUCCAUCAUAAUCAUGUUUCAUAGUUUGCUUAACCAUUUGCCAAUUGUAGAGCAUUUGGGUGGUUUCCAGGAUUUUCCUAUUAUGAAUAGGGCAGCAAUAAACAUCUCUUUGCAAAUAGAGGGUAUUUUCUUUUCAGUUAUAUUCAUGGUAUAUACUCCCAGAAGAGGGAAUAUUGGGUCAAAGGCUAGAAACACUUUUAUGGCUUUUGUUGUGAGAUGCCAGACUGCUCUCCAGAAAGCCUGUGCUAAUUUGCAAUUCUCCAGUCCUUUUAUUCAUGUUUUGUAGCCUCCCCAUGAAUUCCUCCAGGGGUUGUUCCAAAUCCUCAGGGCCUGCCUGGGGAACCCAGUCCCCCUCACCGUCCAGCGGCGAUUUUACUGAGAAAGUUAGAGCCAUGUGUCCCUGAAUUUCCUCCACUUCCUUCCAUAUCAACAUUUCUAUUUUCAUGCUGGCUCCCCUCCUAGGCUGAUCUCUGAGGAAGAGGUGUCCAGUUUGCUCUUGAAACAAACCUCCGUGACUGCAUACUUGAACCUCAUUCCCUCCUGUCUCUUUGAAACCAUGCUGCAUUAGUCAUGCCACUCUUUUCACGUCAUCCAUCUCUCCCUCUUCUCCUGCUCUUUUCCCACAGCCUGCAACUAUCAAGUCUCCUUUUUCCUAAUUGUGCUAAGUACUUUCCCCUUCUCUCCCUGAAUUACCCUCAUCUUUCUUCACCAUCCACCUUUCUGGAAGAAUGAUUUAUGUGUCACUUCACCCUCUAUUGGCCCCCAUCUUACAGCCUUCAGGGAAUCUAGUAUGAGGGUGAAGUUAAAACACAGAAAACAGCAGAAUCUAGAGAAAUGAAGCAUAAUGGAUCCAUGCCUGAAGCCCACUCUACUGGAUUUUUCAGUUACAUGACCGUGGAGAAAUGGAAAUUCCUAUGGCCAGGAUCUUCCCCUGACCUUAAACUACUUGAUGAUGUAAUUGGCCUAAGGCUAGGCUGAUGCUUCCACACCCAUUGGCAAUGAGCUAUUAUUGACUGAGUCACUAUAUAAAGAGCUCCACCCAGUGCUCUGGGCAGAGGCAGAGAUGGACGUGGAUUAUGGAACUGCAGACUGCUGGAUGCAGAUGUGAUUCUAGCGCUCGACCUAUUGCCGUGAGAAAAAAGUCAGGUAUAAAUGCUUUUAGCCGGAGAAUAUUCCAUUGUCAUUUCUCUGUCUUAUCGAAUCCAUAGUGAACUUGCCCAUGGCUGAAACCCUCAGGCAAGACAAUGAUUCAAUACAAGUUAAAUUACUUGUAUCAUUUAAAUCAUAAUGUAGGGCUUUCUGUUAUUUGUAGUUCAAACAUACAGCCAUUAUAGCCCUCUUCACUGUUCUCCUUUUAUACUCUCUCAUCCGUUCCAAGAUCGCAUCUAUGUGGAUGGUUCCUUUACACCCCUAGUUAACACCUGCCUCCUCACCUCCAACUCCAACACUGCUAGCUUUUUGCUGAGUGGCUCUAUGUGGUCUAUUGAGCUUGAAUCUUAUAACUUAACACCAAAAUUUCCACCACCACUGCCCAAGUCAAAUCAACCUUACUUCCCUAUUUCCCUACCUGAUUAUUCAGUUGCCUAAAUUUAAAACUUUAGAGCCAUCUAUAUAAUUCUCUCCUUUACAUCCCACAGCCAGUCAAUUGCCAUAACCUCACACUUUUGCCUCUGGCUAUAUCCUGACUUUAAUUACCUCUUUUUCAAAUUGACUAUCUUUCUACCUUCUGGGUAUUCCAGUUUCUGACCACCCUAUAGAACAGCUUUUCAGAAACACCUUCCUUAAACACCAAAGCAAACAAACAUUUUCAAUGGUUUCUCAAUAUGUUUCAGAUUUCACCCACUCUUUCCAUCCUAAAUUUAGUUCUUCUACUACAAGUUUUUUCCCUUUAUCUUUCCAGUCUUAUAAUCUCAUUACUGUCUCAUUGGUCCCAAGCUACAGCCAAACUGGGCUAUUUACUAUUUCUUCCACACCUUGCUGCUAAUGAGAUGAAUCCCACUUGGACCAUUUUUCCUUCAUAUUUCAUUUACUGAACUACUACUCAUUUCCUUCAGAUUUCAUUUAUUGAACUACUACUCAUCCCUUAAGAUUCACCUCAAAAAA